CGCGGGAUGGAGUAAUGGGUAACUCGUCAGGCUCAUGAUCUGAAGCAUGUAGGUUCGAGUCCUACUCCCGCCA
rnacentral:tRNA from 1 species